GUUUGGGAAUGUGUAAGCCGCGGUGACCCUGCUGGAGUCCGGGGGGGACCUCCAGCCCCCCGGGGGGUCCCUGCGCCUCCUCUGCCGAGGGUCCGGCUUCAGUUUUGGCAGUUUUGGGAUGGGCUGGAUGCGCCAGAGACCCGGGCAGGGGCUGGACUUCAUGGCAGAGAUCAGCUACGAUGGUUCCAGAACCUACUACGCGCCGUUGUUCAAGGGCUGGGUGACGAUCUCCAGGGACAACGGGCAGAGCUCGGUGACGCUGACCAUGAACAGCCUCAAGGACGAGGAUUCUGGAUCCGAUUUCUGUGCCAAAUCUGCUGGUACUG